rnacentral:rRNA from 1 species
UACGUAGGCAGCAAGCGUUGUUCGGAGUUACUGGGCGUAAAGGGUGUGUAGGCGGUUCUCUAAGUUUGGUGUGAAAUCUCCCGGCUUAACCGGGAGGGUGCGCCGAAAACUGGGGGGCUAGAGUGCGGGAUGGGUAAGUGGAAUUCCUGGUGCAGCGGUGAAAUGCGUAGAUAUCAGGAGGAACACCUGUGGUGUAGACGGCUUACUGGACCGCAACUGACGCUGAGACACGAAAGCGUGGGUAGCAAACAGG